UCACCCACAGGCUGCCAAACUCCACAUGCUGAUUUGCAAAUUCAAAUAGGGAUUCCCCAACUUUCAUACACUAUUUCUUCAACUGUUUCUCCUAUCAUUAUGCUAAAAUUCUGUCUCUCCCUCCCUUUACUCAUGUGUAUGAGGCUACCUGCGCUUUUGGUUUGAUUACAAAAAUCCACGGAGGCAUAAAUGAAGUGAGGAAUUCUGGUUAGCCCAUCGGAAACGAAAUCAUGGGAGACAAGGUCUAUAUCCACUGCCACGAUCUCCAGAACUAAGAUAACUUGCAAGUGGAGAAUGCUGCCACAUCUUUCACAGAUCUCCAUAAUGGUGGUAAUAUUGGGAAAAAGAAAAUACAAAUUUAAUGACGGUAACCAGAGUUUAAUUGGUUGAUGCUUUUCUCCGAUUAGCUUUUCAGGAUUUUCAGGCUAUGGAUUGUUAUUGCACAAAAUUGCUUAGUUAACUUCUGAGAGUCAGGCCUGGUGCUAAAGUCAAACCAAUAAAAGCUACAUACCCCUGACUUUUUAAAUUAAUAUGGUUUUGAUUACUUAUGGGAUGUGGCCAUCAUCACUGGUACUGGAGUACCCUUUGAGAUCUGUGAUCUAGUACAGUUUCUCUCCAUUUUGUCACAGGUUCUCUCAUGCCUCUGACAUUGGACUCCUUCGAUCCUGCAUAUAGGAGUCAGGAUUUUCUCUGGUAAAAAUAUGGUACUGAAGGUGCCCCAUGCCAGCACCCUCAUGUGGAUGUAACUGUCUUAUGGUUCAGAGCCCAGAAUCUGGAGAGCCCCCCACUCCAGACAGUCAAUUGUCUUAGGAAAAGAAAGGACUGUCCCUAAAUGGAGCAACACUAGCUGUUCUCCUCAAAGACUCUAUAUCUAUUAUGGUUGUUGAGUAGGCGUUUUACCACAUCCUCUUAGGGUAAACACAGUAAUAUAUUCAGAAAGGAUAUUGGGACUUUCUACAUCAUAUAGUUUAAGAUUUAGUUGCCUAGACUGUGCUCUUCUGUACUGCAAUGGGUUGAGGGCUGAAUCCAUCCAUACCUGCAGAGAAGGUCCUGUCAAGUUGACCCUAUGUUCAAGACCUCUGUCAAUUUUUUCUUCCAUGUUAGCUGGGUGUCUCCUGCUCAGAAACUUCUGUUAGCUCCAAUCUUUAUCCACAGAGCCAUCUUACUUGCCCCAUCACCAAAUCUUUUCAGCUCAUCUUUAUUUCCUCUUUUUGGGAAAAUUAGAGCAAAGGAUGACAAAGUAUCAGGGACAUAAGAAGGGUGUGGAAUCUUUCUGAAUAUUUAUCUAAGGGUUAACUCUGUAUAUCCCAUGUGUGAUAGCCAAUCUUUGUUAUCAACUUGACUGCAUAUGGAAUCAAAUAAAUCACAAACCAUUGGUUA